rnacentral:sRNA from 1 species
GCCUUUUCCUGUUGGUCCAGACCCCUCCGUCUGCCCAGAGAAGCCGCGACAGGAGAGUGGUGAUUGGUGCAAGCGACAUGGUAUGAGGGAAACAACCCCCAUAUCCUCAUUAUUUCAUAACAGAAGAAUAGAGAUGACUUCACUGCUUCUAACAUUCUCACAUACCCCAAGACAGCCUCAAACUUUCUAUACUGCAGAGGAUGACCUUGGACAACUGAUCCCGGCCUGCACUCUGGAGCGCUGUGGAUAUCUGACAGGCUUGUGCUAUCACAGAGUGGAGAAUCAAAGCCCAUGAUAAGCAAGGACUGUACCAGCCGAGCCACCUCCCCAGCCAGCAGGAAUCCCAGUUUUUGUAGAACACAGUUUUUAAUUUAGUUCCUUUUCAUUGACUUAAAUUAUGCACACUCGCCGAGUGUAUGUUGAACCACCUUUGUCCGGCUCCCUUUGUUCUUCGAAGCAGAUGGAAAUGAGGUGGCAGACUGGGAAGGUUGCCAUGGUGCUGUGGCUACAGGGAUUUAACAGUAAUCAAAAGAAGCUCCGGAGUCCCCUCCCCCACGAUCCAGCACCGGUUUCUCACAUUUCUUGUCCUUUGUGGCUAAACUGCCUGCUCCAUGAUUCCCACAGAAGCUCUUCUCUCUGCUUUCCCAGUGUUGAGGUUACCGGCAUGUGCCACUCGGCCUGGUUUUAUAGGGGGAUUGAACUCAAGUCCUCACGGCUUGUGUGGCAAGCAUAUUACUUCUGUCUGAGCCAUCACCCCAACCUUUCCAUGCACUGUGGUAAAUAUAUUAUAUAUAUAUUAUUAUUAUAUUUACUUAAAUCAAUCCUAUCCAAUCAUGAACUUCUGACAAUUACAUUUAAAGAUCAUCCUAGGAACGCCUGGAGGAGCGAGCAAAUGACCUUCCGAAACUCCACUUCUUUUGUGAAUCGGAGAGCCUGAUGGAAGACAGGAUGUGACUGAAUGUUUGCAGCUCCAUCCUUGACUUUAAACAUUGUAUUAGUUUUCCAGUAGUUACUUUUCUGUUGCCGUGAAAAAACACUAAAAAGUAUCACAUGGAAGAAAGGGUUUAGUUGCAGAGGGAGAGUCCCCUAAUGGCCAGGGGGCACUGCAGCAAACGUCACAUCCUCGACAAACAGGAAGCAGAGCAAAGAAACUGGGUCAAGGCUGGAAGCCCAGGGACUUCCUCCAACAAGGCCAUACCCUUAGAGUUUUUAUAACUUCCCUGAACAGUGCCAAAGCCAAAAGGCUUCACUUGCAGGGGACCAGGGUUCAACUACCUGAGCAGGUCAGAGACAUUUAUCAUUCCAGCCACCACAAAUAUGUAAACUCCAACACUAGCCAAGCUCCCAAACUCCCGAGUGCUGGCUCUCCGUGGUGUGCUGAAACUGCUGUGCUGCUCAAAGGUUUCUGUUUCCUUAACCAGAGCUAAUUCAACAGCUCUUCUCUUACUCAGCCAAUAGGGUUCUUUUAGAAAUAGCAGUUUGCCCUCUUGGAAACCUUGCAGUUUUGGUGUAAGUGGUAUGGAUAUGUUAUCUCUAAGGUCUGAUAAUUCCUACGUAAACGGACUGAAAUAAUAAUAAUCUCUCAGUAGUGUCUGGCAUGAGGGUUUGUUUGUUUUAUAUUUGUUUAUUUAGUGUGUGUGUGGUGGGGGAGAGGACACAGCAGAAGUCAGAGGACAAUUUCAGGGAGUCAGUUCCUCUCUGCCAUCUGGGUCCCAGGGCGCAAACUCAGUUUUCGGGUCUGGAUGAAGAGUUCCAUUACCUACUGAGUACCAUCCCAGGUUCCGUGUCUUUCUUUGGGGCAGGAUUUCAUGUAGUCCAGGCUAGCUUGAACUAGUUUUCCUCCUGCCUCUACAUCCCACAUGCUUGGAUUAGAGACAUGAGCCCUUGCUUCAGGCUUACAAGGAUAUUUAGAAAAACAUUUUUUCUUCAUCUUCUUUUAGAUUUAAAAACUGAUUAAGAGUUGAACCCUGGAACUCUGGAAGAGCAGAUAGUGACCUUAACCAGUGAGCCUGAACUUGAAUUAAAAACGAAACACACCUAUUUAAUUAAUAUGGAGUAUCAUGUGUGUGCCACAGAUAUUAAGCUCAGAGAACAGCUUGUGGGCGUUGGUUUUCUCCUCUAACCAUGUGGUCCAGCGAUGGUCAGGCUUGGCGGCCAGCACCUUUACCAGCUGAUUGUCCGGUAGCUCGCCCCUCCCUCGAACUUAAGAACUGAUUAUGGAUGCACAGCAGCAAUAAGAUCAGAAAAGGCUGCAGGUCUUUUUCUUUUUUUUUUAAACCUUUCUUCUGUUUCUAUGUACAACAAAUUAUUAUUGUACGCUGUAAGAGAUGUAGAGGUUCACCUGCGCUAAGCACCCCCCCCCCGCUUGUAAGAUUGUCUCUGUAUUUAGUAUAUUUAAUAAAAGACCCCGCUGAUGAGUCUUUUUUUUUUUUAAUGUUUUCUGUAUUUUUAGACUCGCAAGAGGGGCAGCACUCUUGCCUCUCUUGUUGCUAAGCAACAAACCGUACAGUUGCUAGGAGACGGACUAGCAAGGUUGCAGGGGCGGAGGGAGGGGAUAAUUCUUAAUCCAGCCACCACCUUUCACUUCACCUGACUUUAGAGCUUCAGGCACAAGAGAAAAUGUGUCAGAUAAAGCGAGAGCCGGGUGGUCGGGUAUUCAGGGGAUGAAAUACCGCAGCCAGUAAGGAUUUGAGGGGAAGCACGGGUGGGAGAGGCACUUACGCAAUUUGCUCGCAUUAGUCAUGGAAAAACCUUCAACUGCCCUGCUGAAUUUGAUCUUCUGCAUGCAUCUGCCUUUAUCUGAAAGACAAAUUAGAGAACAAACCCCAAGACGGAAUCUUCCGGUUGGCCUUCCUAAAUGCAUACAGGAGAGUGGAAAUCGGUAGUGAUGUUCACAGAAGACUGGCAGUUACAAAAAAGUUUAGGAUUAUUUAAAAAUCCCCAAGUCUGGAGGCUGUGGGUGCAGGCCCAGCUCAGUCCACAGCACCAGGUAAGCACAGGUAAAACAGACCCGGUGUUGGGCAGAGGGAGCUUGAAGCUUGCCUAGGAAACACACGGCUCAGAGAGAGAGAG